UACGUAGGUGGCGAGCGUUGUCCGGAUUUACUGGGCGUAAAGAGCGCGCAGGCGGCUGGGCAAGUCCGAUGUGAAAGCUUCCGGCUUAACCUGGGAACUGCGUCUGAUACUGGGAGGCUUGAGUAUGGGAGAGGGAUGUAGAAUUCCAGGUGUAGCGGUGAAAUGCGUAGAUAUCUGGAGGAAUACCGGUGGCGAAGGCGGCAUCCUGGACCAUAACCGACGCUGAGGCGCGAAAGCUAGGGGAGCAAACGGG
rnacentral:rRNA from 1 species